CAGUCGAGCGGUAACAGAAAGUAGCUUGCUACUUUGCUGACGAGCGGCGGACGGGUGAGUAAUGCCUGGGAAUUUGCCCAUUCGAGGGGGAUAACAGUUGGAAACGACUGCUAAUACCGCAUACGCCCUACGGGGGAAAGGAGGGGACCUUCGGGCCUUCCGCGAAUGGAUAAGCCCAGGUGGGAUUAGCUAGUAGGUGAGGUAAUGGCUCACCUAGGCGACGAUCCCUAGCUGUUCUGAGAGGAUGAUCAGCCACACUGGGACUGAGACACGGCCCAGACUCCUACGGGAGGCAGCAGUGGGGAAUAUUGCACAAUGGGCGAAAGCCUGAUGCAGCCAUGCCGCGUGUGUGAAGAAGGCCUUCGGGUUGUAAAGCACUUUCAGCGAGGAGGAAAGGUUACUGGCUAAUAUCCAGUAGCUGUGACGUUACUCGCAGAAGAAGCACCGGCUAACUCCGUGCAGCCGC
rnacentral:rRNA from 1 species